ACUCAAAUGAAUAGACGGGGACCCGCACAAGCGGUGGAGCGUGUUGUUUAAUUCGAGGGUAAGCGUAGAACCUUACCAGGGUUUGACAUCCCGAGAAUUACUUCGAAAGAAGUGAGUGCCGUUUGGAACUCGGUGACAGGUGAUGCAUGGCCGUCGUCAGCUCGUGUCGUGAGAUGUUGGGUUAAGUCCCGCAACGAGCGCAACCCUUAUGAUUAGUUGGAUUUCUCUAAUCAGACUGCCUCGGCAACGGGGAGGAAGGAGGGGAUGAUGUCAGGUCAGUAUUUCCCUUACAUCCUGGGCGACAAACACGCUACAAUGGCCGGUACAGAGGGCUGCCAACCCGCGAGGGGGAGCAAAUCCCAUCAAAGCCGGUCUCAGUUCGGAUUGUAGGCUGAAACUCGCCUGCAUGAAGCCGGAAUCGCUAGUAACCGUAGGUCAGCACACUACGGUGAAUACGUUCCCGGGUCUUGUACACACCGCCCGU
rnacentral:rRNA from 1 species